rnacentral:lncRNA from 1 species
GGCCACACCAAUUUAAUUUCUUGUUCUACGGAUUUUUGGACUCCAAAUUUUGGGGCGAGCGAGCGAUUUGAAAAUUUUAAUAAAAAAAUAUUUAAUUUGCAAAUUUUUGAGGCGAAGCUUGAAAAGUAAAGGCAAGCGAUUAUAAUUUUUUUUUUUGUAAACAUAAAAUAGUAGGUUUUGACAAUAUUAAAACUUGAUUUAUCACUUGUACUUUGACAUUUCUUU